ensembl:lncRNA
UGUACAGCGCAGUGCAAUCUUCUGAAUGUAUGAGGAUGAAGAGAGAAGCAGUAGAGUACAAAUGAGGAAAAGCAGAAACUACAGCCAGCUGUACGAGGGACCCUCACCUGCCUGCCAGAGGGACAGCGAUACGCCAGGCACAGUGCACCUGCUGCACGGGGCUCCUGUGUGCAAGACUCACCACAAGAGUUCUCUGCCUUCCGAAUUCAGUCACGGCCAGCAGAUCUAUGCUUAAUCAUCCACCCACCUUUAAUGAGGUAAUGUGACUGAUGCUGAAGUGAAAUUGAGGGCAAAACUGUAUGAUUAUGUCUUCUGAAAGGCAUUGAGCGAGUUCAUCUACUGCCUUCAACACACGCUGAGGGCACACAAUUUCCUCAUUGCUUUUCACUGGGCUUUGGAUCUAGCCCUGGGUUGCUGAAUGGCACUCUCAAGAAAUGAAAAAAUAGGACUUUUGUUACCACUUUGAUCACACAAGAGGAGAUGCAGAAGUGAUUUAAUAUAUUCAAAUCUUUUAAAAUGUUGCUGUAUGCACAGAAGCUAAGUUAAUGCUUCUGAAAGACUGCAUCAUGUAGUCACACCUUACUAGCUUACGGUUUUCAUACUAACACAGGGCUACAGCUCUAGCUUUGCUCUGUUCUCCAUGGAGCAUUAAUUCAAACAGUUGUCAGGAAGGCAAAUCCACUGAAAACAGUGGAAUUAGAAAGCCAUGGCAUUACUAACAGUAACUUGUCUUGUCUACAUGCUGUACAACAGCCUAGUGUUUGGCAUUAAGUGGUACGGCUUUUUUUUAAAUCAUGGUAAGAGCUCUCUACAUGUUUCUAGCAAGAAAACGUAAGUAUCAGAGGCGCUUUUUCUCAUUUUCUAUUUCACAUACUGCUAACAAAUUUUUUUGAAAGAAAUCAUUCCCCAAAUUGUCAUUUUACUUCAGUCGUAUUCAGGCUUUGCAAUGCCUGUUGGUGAAGCAAAGCUCUGGCCACCCUGCUGUCUGCAGCUGUACUCCCUAGUCAGGCCAAGUAUAAGGCACAAAUGCAACUGAAGCUGUAACUUAACUCUUGAAAAUGGUUUCUAUUUAAAUCAAUAGGAUUUUGGCCACAGAGCUAUGUGAAGGCAAGCCACGAUUCCUAAAGUCUAUUUUGAAAGUAUUGUCUUCUCAUUUGUUGUGUACUCUCAUCUCCAAGUUAUUUGCAAGGUGCAGUCAGCAUUUCCGGAGACCACAUGCCAUGGAUCAAUAUACCAUGCACCUCUAUGAAGCAGUAAUUGCUUCAGGAUUCACCUAGAGAUGAGGAUGCUUAGCACCUCUAAAAAAAAAAAAAAAAGUAUGUGACUACAUAAAGACUUAAAGAUGAUCUGGUGCUUCUGAAAGCCCCACUAAGCCCUUAAUACCUCCCUAAAUCUGAUUUCUGUGCUUCCACUUUAAGCACUGAGGUUUGAAAGUUUCGGACUAUGAAUGUUGUUCAGCUUGCAACAGUGAUAAACUUUAUGAGACCAAAUUUUAACUCAUUCUUAUGAAAUUGCCUGAAUGCAGGAAGGUACCUUUACCAAAAUGUGAAAUAUUAUCAAGAGAAAUCACAUUUUGACUAAUCUUCUGGGUGUUAAUACCUCAGCGGUACCAGCCUCAAUUGGAUCGUUAGAAAAGGAGUGAGCAUUUGCGCUUUAAGAAACAGUUUUUAAGGAAGGGCCCAUCCACCUACAGUGGGUUUCAGAUAACUAAAAAAAAAACCAAUUCCAUCAUGAAGUCACACUGUGCCUACUAAAAAGAUUCAGACAUCACAAAAAAAAAAAAAGAGCCCAUUUAGCAAACACAUGUAAGCAUUAGCAUUGUUGCAGGUACAUUUAUGGUUAUUGCUCUGGAUUUGUUUGGAGUUAGACAGGAUUUUAGUGGCAUCAUUCUGAAAAUGGUUCUGCUUGAAGGAAUGGCUGUGUGCGUACAUUUCUCUAUAUAGCUCUCAGCUCAUGAACAAAAAUUAACAAACAUCAUAUCAAUAGUGUCACCAGAAUGAUUGCUCCCUGGCUGGAAUGAUGUUGUACUAAUCUUACACUUAGUUCUUCCAUGCACAGCUUGAGUAUUGACAUGACAUUUUCCCCUGACACGUUGCCCGUGCUUGAACUCAUGUGCAGAUAGAUAAACGAAAAGGAGAAUUGGAUUUCUGCCUCAAGCCCCUCCGUACACAAAUUUAGACAAAACUGUCCUGCACACUUCGACUGCUCAUCUCACAAAACUUCAAGAGUGGAUUCCAGGUUGCCAUGGUCCAGACUGCACAGGUUUUCACAGAUCAAAACCCAACACAAGAACUGCACUAUAAACACUACCAAGCUUUAGUAUGUCACGUAGAACAUGUCUCAGGCCACUGUACCCCAGAUCAGCUUCAUUUUCUGGGUUGCCCUCAAAUAAUAGCUCAAUGAUGCCCCUCACAUUUCAACAACUCACUCAUGCAUGGGUAACUUUUGUGAGGCCUGGCAGUGGGCAGGAACAGUUCCAGCUUUCUGGCUAAAUGCAUAGCCAGGUUUUACGAUUAGCCUCAUCUUUCCAAACCCUGCAGCCACUUUGGAAUCGCUCUGAAUUGAAAUAAAGCAAUUACUGAUUUCA